UACAGAGGGGGCAAGCGUUGCUCGGAAUCACUGGGCGUAAAGGGCGCGUAGGCGGGAUGGUAAGUCGGUCGUGAAAUCCCUCGGCUCAACCGAGGAACGUCGAUCGAUACUGCUGUUCUUGAGGAUUGCAGAGGAGACUGGAAUUCCCGGUGUAGCGGUGAAAUGUGUAGAGAUCGGGAGGAACACCAGUGGCGAAGGCGGGUCUCUGGACAAUUCCUGACGCUGAGGCACGAAAGCGUGGGGAGCAAACGGG
rnacentral:rRNA from 1 species